ensembl:snRNA U1 U1 spliceosomal RNA
AUACUUACAUGGCAAGGGAGAUACUAUGAUCCUGAAGGUGAUUUUCUGAGUCUAGGCUCAUCCAUUGCACUAAGAAUGUGCCAACCCCUGAGAUUUCUCCAAAUGUGGAAAACUUGAUGGCAUAAUUUGUGGUAGUGGGAGACUAUGGUCAUGCUUUCCCC